UACGUAGGGGGCAAGCGUUGUCCGGAUUUACUGGGCGUAAAGCGUGCGCAGGCGGUCUAUUAAGUCAGGUGUGAAAUCCCCGGGCUUAACCUGGGAACUGCGCUUGUAACUGAUAGGCUUGAGUGUGGCAGAGGGGGGUGGAAUUCCACGUGUAGCAGUGAAAUGCGUAGAGAUGUGGAGGAACACCGAUGGCGAAGGCAGCCCCCGGGGCGAACACUGACGCUCAUGCACGAAAGCGUGGGGAGCAAACAGG
rnacentral:rRNA from 1 species